rnacentral:rRNA from 1 species
AGCGAACGCUGGCGGCAGGCCUAACAUAUGCAAGUCGAACGAACUCUUCGGAGUUAGUGGCGGACGGGUGAGUAACACGUGGGAACGUGCCUUUAGGUUCGGAAUAACUCAGGGAAACUUGUGCUAAUACCGAAUGUGCCCUUCGGGGGAAAGAUUUAUCGCCUUUAGAGCGGCCCGCGUCUGAUUAGCUAGUUGGUGAGGUAACGGCUCACCAAGGCGACGACCAGUAGCUGGUCUGAGAGGAUGACCAGCCACACUGGGACUGAGACACGGCCCAGACUCCUACGGGAGGCAGCAGUGGGGAAUCUUGCGCAAUGGGCGAAAGCCUGACGCAGCCAUGCCGCGUGAAUGAUGAAGGUCUUAGGAUUGUAAAAUUCUUUCACCGGGGACGAUAAUGACGGUACCCGGAGAAGAAGCCCCGGCUAACUCCGUGCCAGCAGCCGCAGUAACAC